rnacentral:rRNA from 1 species
UACGUUCCCGGGCCUUGUACACACCGCCCGUCACGUCACGAAAGUCGGUAACGCCCGAAGCCGGUGGCCCAACCCUUGUGGAGGGAGCCGUCGAAGGUGGGACUGGCGAUUGGGACG